AUGAUUCAGGAGACAGAAGAUGAAUUCAUGCUCUUCAUUCACAUACUCAACAAACAAAUAUCAUUGAACACAUCCUGUGUGCAAAGCACUAUUUGGGACAGGGUGCCACAGCAGCAAACAAGUAGGUGGAGUUUAUUUUCUAGUCGGAAGAGACAAACACAAUUAGUAAAUAAACUAUACACUAGAUCAGAAAGUGAUAUAUACUAUAAGAAAGGGAAAGGGGGGGACCUGGAUAAUAAUGAAGGCAUACUUUUAAAUAAGAUAAUCAUGGAAGACUUUGCUGGUGCUGUGACUUGAGAAAAGCAGCCUCGCCCAUAUCAUUUUCUGGAUAUUGUUGAAAAUGAGAGGGUACGCUAGAAAUGGAACUGCCAGUAUCAGAUAGAUGUUUCCCCCUGACUGUUGACCUCUCCUAUGAGGGAGGAGGUACAAUUCAGCACCAAGGGGAGCCGAAAUGGGCUCUCUAGAAGAGCAGCACAGGGCAGAGGAGUCCAGGUUCCAUGUUUAGGAGUAGUCCUGGGGCACAGACUCAGAGAAGGAGAGACAGGGACAUAUCUGGGGAAAAAACAUUCUGUUUGGAAGGAGCUACAAAGAGUUCUGAGACAAACUUGAAAAAUAAUGGCAGGAUGAAUUGAGAGUGAGUGAGGGGAGACAAGGUCAGAGUGAGCGGCAGGAUUCUGCAAGGGCACUACAAGGACAGGCUUUUAAUCCGGGUGAAUUGUAGGGGAGGUGCCUUUAGAAGAAUUUGAACAGAAGAUUUUCAUGAUCAGUUCUAUGUUUUAAAAGAAGUGUGGCAAAUAGCAGAUGGUACAAAAGAAGAGCUAGCAGACAUCCUUCAUUUACUUGGAUUCUCAUUCAAGGUAUCACCUCUGGAUAACAGCUGUUAUUUGUGUAAAUAGAUCUGUGAGCUAGGAAGAAGGGCCAAGUAGACGUGUUGUUUUGGAAAAGCUUCUCCAUCUUGAUAUCACUGUGGUUUCUUUGUCCUUACCCAUAAAGUUAGCCUGUUAGACUAAAUGGCCAAAUAUCAUAACUUUGUGGAAAAACAUUGAAAAAUGUACCCUAGGAACCUUCUUGAAUUAUUGUGAAUUUUAAACUCGUUUUUCAACAUUUUUCACUUAGUUUUAGGUUUCAGGCAACUCCGAUAAUCAUAAAUUUCAUUCUGCCUUAAGUUUAACAGUUCAUUCUGACAUUAAUGAAAUUAUUGCGCUACUUAAAAUAGAGUGUACUCUGGUUGCUUAUUGCAGAUGGAGACAUUUCUUUUUUUUUUGCUUUUUCUGUGCACAAUAAAUAAAGUUCAUUAAUAAACUCA
rnacentral:lncRNA from 1 species